rnacentral:rRNA from 1 species
AGCAGCCGCGGUAAUUCCAGCUCCAAUAGCGUAUAUUAAAGUUGUUGCAGUUAAAAAGCUCGUAGUUGAAUUUCGGGAUUAGUACGCUGGUCGUGCCUUCGGUAUGUACUGGUGUUACUGGUUCCUACCUUCUGACGAACCGUCAUGUCAUUAAUUUGGUGUGGCGGGAAAUCAGGACUGUUACUUUGAAAAAUUAGAGUGUUUAAAGCAGGCUCGCGCUUGAAUACAUUAGCAUGGAAUAAUGAAAUAGGACGUUCGAUCCUAUUUUGUUGGUUUCUAGGAUUGACGUAAUGAUUAAUAGGGAUAGUUGGGGGCACUAGUAUUCAAUUGUCAGAGGUGAAAUUCUUGGAUUUAUUGAAGACUAACUACUGCGAAAGCAUUUGCCAAGGAUGUUUUCAUUAAUCAAGAACGAAAGUUAGGGGAUCGAAGACGAUCAGAUACCGUCGUAGU